rnacentral:rRNA from 1 species
AUUGAACGCUGGCGGCCGGCCUAACACAUGCAAGUCGAACGAGUGGCGGACGGGUGAGUAAUGUCUGGGAAACUGCCCGAUGGAGGGGGAUAACUACUGGAAACGGUAGCUAAUACCGCAUACCAUCGGAUGUGCCCAGAUGGGAUUAGCUAGUAGGUGGGGUAACGGCUCACCUAGGCGACGAUCCCUAGCUGGUCUGAGAGGAUGACCAACCAGAUUGGAACUGAGACACGGUCCAGACUCCUACGGGAAACAGCAGUGGAGAAUAUUGCACAAUGGGCGCAAGCCUGAUGCAGCCAUGCCGCGUGUAUGAAGAAGGCCUUCGGGUUGUGAAGUACUUUCAACGAGGAGGCGUUACUCGCAGAAGAGGCACCGGCUGACUCCGUGCCAGCAGCCGCGGUAAUAC